rnacentral:rRNA from 1 species
CUACGGAGGGUGCAAGCGUUAUCCGGAAUCACUGGGUUUAAAGGGUGCGUAGGCGGCAUUAUAAGUCAGAGGUGAAAGGCCACCGCUUAACGGUGGGACUGCCUUUGAUACUGUAGAGCUUGAAUAAGGUUGAGGUUAGCGGAAUGUGACAUGUAGCGGUGAAAUGCAUAGAUAUGUCAUAGAACACCAAUUGCGAAGGCAGCUGACUAGACCUUUAUUGACGCUGAGGCACGAAAGCGUGGGGAGCGAACAGGAUUAGAUACCCCAGUAGUCC